UUUCUUUCCACACCAGGAAAAUAUUUCUUUAUCUUUUUAAUGCUUACUGGGUUGCCUAGCUUCGUGGUCCCAGGUUGCCUAAUUUCAGUGGGCUGACUGAUUUGAUAAUGGUAAAGCAAAACAGCAUUAAAUUAAAUGAUUGCACAUACUACAUGUGACAAAUGAGAAGUGAUGCAGCACAAAAAGUUCCAUUAUUCACUUUUUUAGGUGAAUUAUAAACAUAUAUUCAAUAAGGUGUUGCCUUUAUCAUUCUUAUAGAUGGAAACGUUGUGCCAAGACUGAGAUCGUGAACUACUCGAUUGGCCUGAUCAAUGUAAUCUAUAUCUACUCAGACAGUAAGUCCAGAUGAAAUCAACAUUUUUGUUGUAUUCAGGAGAUGAUGACCGAAAAACUAGAUAGAUGGUUUACCCAUAAAACAAUCCAUUCAUCAUGUUUGUUAAUAUUCAAAUAAAUGUGAAAGAUAUUAAUACCUGAAGAACUAAACUGAUGUUCACAUCUAUGAGGCUGUUUUUCAGUAUUCAAAUAAAUCUGAAAACAAAAGGUCUGUGGUGGUGAUGACUGAAAAAUUAAAUUGAUAUUUAGUGUGAAGCAAUCAAUCAAUUGUUUAUCAAUCUUCAAAUAAAUCUAAAAGGUAUUAUGACAUGUGACAGGACAUUUUUCCAGUUUUGCUACUUUUUUCUGUAGGGUUAUCUAAAGCCCAAAUUAUACACAUUCCAUGAGAACAGGGCUAAUAAUCUCAAUGAAUUAAGAGACCGUAUAGCUAAUUUAUUGGAGAAUAUUACUCUUGUUACUUUUUAUCACAGGUUGGGGUAUUGUACCACUGCCUGUGGAGACGUUUUUGGACAUCUUACUUACUUGUUUUUAGUUUUUUUUU